GGAGGUGUAGCUCAGUGGUAGAGUGCUUGCUUAGUAUGUAUGAAGCCCUGGGUUCAAUCCCAGCACUUCCA
rnacentral:tRNA from 2 species